rnacentral:rRNA from 1 species
AUUGAACGCUGGCGGCAGGCCUAACACAUGCAAGUCGAGCGGGGUUUUCGGACCUAGCGGCGGACGGGUGAGUAAUGCGUAGGAAGCUACCCGAUAGAGGGGGAUACCAGUUGGAAACGACUGUUAAUACCCGCAUAAUGUCUACGGACCAAAGUGUGGGACCUUCGGGCCACAUGCUAUCGGAUGCGCCUACGUGGGAUUAGCUAGUUGGUGGGGUAAUGGCUCACCAAGGCGACGAUCCCUAGCUGGUUUGAGAGGAUGAUCAGCCACACUGGAACUGAGACACGGUCCAGACUCCUACGGGAGGCAGCAGUGGGGAAUAUUGGACAAUGGGCGCAAGCCUGAUCCAGCCAUGCCGCGUGUGUGAAGAAGGCCUUC